rnacentral:rRNA from 1 species
AGUGAACGCUGGCGGUAGGCCUAACACAUGCAAGUCGAACGGCAGCACAGUAAGUGCUUGCUCUUACGGGUGGCGAGUGGCGGAUGGCUGAGGAAUACAUCGGAAUCUACUCUUUCGUGGGGGAUAACGUAGGGAAACUUACGCUAAUACCGCAUAUGACCUACGGGUGAAAGCAGGGGAUCUUUGUACUUUGUGCGAGUGAAUGAGCCGAUGUCGGAUUAGCUAGAUGGCGGGGUAAAGGCCCACCAAGGCGACGAUCCGUAGCUGGUCUGAGAGGAUGAGCAGCCACACUGGGACUGAGACACGGCCCACACUCCUAGAGGAAGCAACAGUGCGGAAUAUUGGACAAGGGGCGCGAGCCUGAUCCAGCCAUACCGCGUGGGGGAAGAAGGACUUCGGGUUGGAGAGCCCAUUUGUUGGGAAGGAAAAGCAGCACGUUAAUACCCCACUGUUCUGACGGUACCCAGAGAAUAAGCACCGGCUAACUUCGUG